UACAGAGGUCCCAAGCGUUACUGAGAAUCACUGGGUUUAAAGGGUGCGUAGGUGGUCCGUUAAGUUCGUUGUGAAAUCCCUGGGCUCAACCCAGGAACUGCUUCGAAUACUGGCGGACUUGAGGCCAGUAGGGGUCACUAGAACUGACGGUGGAGCGGUGAAAUGCGUAGAUAUCGUUUGGAACGCCAAAGGUGAAAACAGGCGACUGGGAGUGUGCUGACGCUGAGACACGAAAGCCAGGGGAGCAAACGGG
rnacentral:rRNA from 1 species